rnacentral:rRNA from 1 species
UUGAACGCUGGCGGCAUGCUUUACACAUGCAAGUCGAACGGCAGCGGGCCCUUCGGGGUGCCGGCGAGUGGCGAACGGGUGAGUAAUACAUCGGAACGUGUCCUAUAGUGGGGGAUAACCCAGCGAAAGUUGGGCUAAUACCGCAUACGUCCUACGGGAGAAAGCGGGGGAUCGCAAGACCUCGCGCUAGUGGAGCGGCCGAUGUCCGAUUAGCUUGUUGGUGAGGUAAAGGCUCACCAAGGCGACGAUCGGUAGCUGGUCUGAGAGGAUGAUCAGCCACACUGGGACUGAGACACGGCCCAGACUCCUACGGGAGGCAGCAGUGGGGAAUUUUGGACAAUGGGGGCAACCCUGAUCCAGCCAUGCCGCGUGAGUGAAGAAGGCCUUCGGGUUGUAAAGCUCUUUCGGUCGGGACGAAACGGCGGAUGCUAAUACCAUCCGUUACUGACGGUACCGACAGAAGAAGCACCGGCUAACUACGU